rnacentral:rRNA from 1 species
UGGGGAAUAUUGCACAAUGGGCGCAAGCCUGAUGCAGCCAUGCCGCGUGUGUGAAGAAGGCCUUCGGGUUGUAAAGCACUUUCAGCGAGGAGGAAGGCAUAAAGGUUAAUAACCUUUGUGAUUGACGUUACUCGCAGAAGAAGCAACGGCUAACUCCGUGCCAGCAGCCGCGGUAAUACGGAGGGUGCAAGCGUUAAUCGGAAUUACUGGGCGUAAAGCGCACGCAGGCGGUUUGUUAAGUCAGAUGUGAAAUCCCCGCGCUUAACGUGGGAACUGCAUUUGAAACUGGCAAGCUAGAGUCUUGUAGAGGGGGGUAGAAUUCCAGGUGUAGCGGUGAAAUGCGUAGAGAUCUGGAGGAAUACCGGUGGCGAAGGCGGCCCCCUGGACAAAGACUGACGCUCAGGUGCGAAAGCGUGGGGAGCAAACA